rnacentral:rRNA from 1 species
ACUACGGGAGGCAGCAGUGAGGAAUAUUGGUCAAUGGACGCAAGUCUGAACCAGCCAUGCCGCGUGCAGGAUGACGGCUCUAUGAGUUGUAAACUGCUUUUGUACGAGGGUAAACCCCGAUACGUGUAUCGGGUUGAAAGUAUCGUACGAAUAAGGAUCGGCUAACUCCGUGCCAGCAGCCGCGGUAAUACGGAGGAUCCGAGCGUUAUCCGGAUUUAUUGGGUUUAAAGGGUGCGUAGGCGGUUUGAUAAGUUAGAGGUGAAAUGUCGGGGCUCAACCCCGAAACUGCCUCUACUACUGUUGGGCUAGAGAAUAGUUGCGGUAGGCGGAAUGUAUGGUGUAGCGGUGAAAUGCUUAGAGAUCAUACAGAACACCGAUUGCGAAGGCAGCUUACCAAACUAUAUCUGACGUUGAGGCACGAAAGCGUGGGUAGCAAACAGGAUUAGAUACCCCUGUAGUC